rnacentral:rRNA from 1 species
GAAUCAAAACCACUCUCGGCAAUGGAUAUCUCGGCUCUUGCAUCGAUGAAGAACGUAGUGAAAUGCGAUACUUGGUGUGAAUUGCAGAAUCUCGUGAACCAUUGAGUCUUUGAACGCAAGUUGUGCCCGAGGCCUUGUGGCCGAGGGCACGCCUGCUUGGGGGU